rnacentral:lncRNA from 1 species
UUUGUUGAGGUAACAUUUAACAGGAAAUUAUACAGUAGGCACAAUACCAUAGCAGCUGAGAGAGAGAAUUAACUUCCAGGUAUUCAUAAGAAAGUGCAAGAGAGAUUUUCAUAUUGAACACUCCAAGUCCCAAUUUCUGCUAUAUGUGGUGGUAGAUGGUAAGAAUAAAAAUAACCAGUUGACGAAGCUUUUGCAGCUUAAAUUACAGACACUGGAUCUGCAGAUACUCAGUGAUUACCUCAGACCUGCAAUGAGUAUGUCAUGUCGGAUACACAUCAUGAUGAGAUGUUGGCCAGCCUUGAAAGUUUCUGGGUAAUAUGCUGACUGUGAGUUUCCACUGACUACAAAGGUCAUGAAAUGAGAUUUGAAAAACACAAUUAGCAGAUCCCCAAUAACGUCACUGCCAGUGAAUUUAAGGUUGUAAAACUUGUGUUUCAUCCUCCAGGGUCCAAAAAGCAAAAAUUAGAAAACUAGACACUGGAGCAGCUAUGUUCUAAUUUAU